GCCGAGAUCGCAUAGCCCGGUAUUGCGAUGGAUUCGAAAUCCAUUAUCCUUGGAUUCGGGGGUUCAAAUCCCUCUCUCGGCG
rnacentral:tRNA from 2 species